UUUGCAAGGUACAGUGAGCAUUUAAAAAGCGAUGCUGGUGGUCCGAUGAAAGUCAGAAAUCAGAAAGCCAAAAGAGAAGAUGAGGACCCUCGCUGCUGCGUUCCUGUGCCUCGCUGUACUGCUGCCGUCCCCUGCCCCUGGGCAAGCAAUUCAACGUGCGCAUGAAUGUUGUUUGACAACAACAAAUACAAAAAUCCGCGUGAGCCUGGUUGAUCGCUAUCGCAUACAGAAGAAAGGAUUGUGUCCCGUGGAUGCAGUGGUCUUUUUCACCGUUAGAGGACUCUCAAUCUGCUCCAAGCCCUCAGACCCCUGGACACAAAGAGCCAUGGCAACUGUGGAUAACAGGAGAAGGAGAACCCCGACCACGAGCACCGCAUCACCCAACGCGUUUGUAGUGACGGCACUGAGGACAGCCCUGACCAUGGACACCACAUCACCCCAUCCACCCCAAAAAAAUGUACCUUUGCACUGCUUUGGAGCUGAGAAUUGCCUUGAACCAAUUCAGGUCUUCUGUCUCUCCGAUAAGUCAUGAACCCUGUGCUUGUAUGCUAUUCUUCAUUUUUUUCUGAAACAUUACUUUCAACACUUUAUAUUGCAUAAUGGAUUCCAUCUUUUCUGUGUUUAAUAAUUUCGGAGAAUGUAUUUGACUAUGUAUUCUAAUAAAUCAUAUAUUUUCAGAAAGGAAAUCACAACAAUAGGUUGUCCUUGUGUUCUGUGCUUUACAAAAAGUUGAGCACUUUAAGGCGUUUUUUGGCAUAGCAUGACUUGAAUAAAUUUAAAAGAAAACAAACAAAAAAUAAUAAUGUAAAACAUUAAUCUCAUAAGUACCUACAGAUAAUGUUCUAAAUUUCUGGAAUAUAAUAACCACUUACUCUGCUAAUAUCAUUUUCAACCCCCUUCCAUUUUAUUCCCUUCCAAAUUUCUAAUCGCCAGUUUUCACUUCGAUCAACUGCCUCCAAGCAGCAGUUGAUAUGUGUAAACUCCUCCAAUGCACUUGUCCACAUGCCAAAAGCCUACAGCAGAAACUAAGAUACAAAUGCAUGCAUCAGGAUUGGAGGUCAUUUAGAACUCAAAAAUGUCCCUGAGUUUGAAGGUGACACCAACAUAAACUUAUUAAAGAAAUUAAACCCUUUGUUGAUUUGAAUUGUUACUUACAUUGCUGUUGUCAGAUUUUUAAAUAAAUAUCUUACUCUUA